CCCCCCCCCCCCCCCCGUUUAGGCAGGCAGGCAGGCACAGCGGGCCACAGCAACGCCAUCUGCUGGCCAGGCAUUGCCCACCCGUCUACACUAAAACACUUCCUGCUGCAAGCACAGGUGGGAUGGAGGGUGCAUCUAAGAUAGUCCCUUUGAAAAAGUGUUGGUCCUUUUGAAAACAGUCUGAUCCUUCUUCACCCACUCAUUCCCACUGGAGCAAUCAAUAAAAGGGCUUUUCUUGGGAUUGGCGUGGUGUCCUUUCUUGGCCAGGAAGGGGUCCUUCGGCUGCCUCCCUCGCUGGGGCAAAGCCACACCACCCUUUGGCAGAGUUGGAAUUGUGGAAAAGCUGAGCACGAAGCUGUUUUGCUGUUAUGGGGUGUGUGUGGACGAGGCAGCAGAAAAAUUGUGACCCCCCCUCCCCCCGCAGGUUAGGGCUUCACAUGUAGAAGGCCCACCUGCCACAGCCAUGAGGGCAGAACAUCAGGCUAAAGUGGGCCGGUAUUCUGGGUCUUUUUCAGUCAGUUUGCUAAACCACUGGACCGUAGCCCUCCGAAAGCUUCUCUGAAAAGGAUUCUGCUCCCCCCCAGCUGCAAGAGAAUCCCCCCCCUUCUUGAUGGAAUCUGUCUGCAGGCGGAAGGCGUGACCUCCUUUGUGCUCAGGACAUGAGCUCACCUCCAGAAAAACGCCCAGCACGGCCAGCCCAUCUGGCUGGUGUUUGGCCUCACUCACGUUGGCGUACCUCUCCGAGUUGAAAUGAACAACGUGAAGCUGGCGGACAAAGAACGAGAGACACUGUCAGCUAGGAAGCAUCAGGAGCAUCGUGGAAAUGAUGGCAGCAGGAUCCCGGUAACCCUCUGGCUCAAUCGGAGGCAGGGAAGGGUCAUACUGCACGGAGCCGGUUUCAAUAUUGAUGGGGGACUGAGACCGCCACCCGCAGUCUGGAUACGUGUCUGGCCAGUGCUCCUGCCCGUGGGACCCUGGAAGGAGAAAGACAGAGCAUCAGAGUUAUGGUCAUGUCAGCUCUUCUCCUCCCUCGUCUUCUUCAUCCUCACCACAACAGCCCUGUGAGGUUGGCCCAAGGGAGGAAGUGAUCCAGAGUCUGCCAGUGGUUUUCAUGGCUCACAGUCAGGUCUCAGGAUUCCCCAGCCAGCUAUCGUCCGAGAAGCUCCAGGCCUUCCCAGGGAAGCCCGAGGGCUCUUGACUGACUCACCAACCUGUGCGCAUGCCAGCCGAGUCCCAACUCUUACAGAUAAAACUGUUCAAAUCCACACCAGAAUCUGCCACAAAUUUAAGAACAAGGAACAAUCCUGCAUAAUUGGAUCAAAGAGUGUGUGGCUUAAAAGGAGACCCCACGGAUGCCAGAGGUCACCCUGUCUCUGGCUGGUGCCAGCCUCCCCCCCACAUGUGCCCAUGAGCUUCUCCGCUUGCCAGACAGGUAGGUCUCACCAUGGCUGAGGAGGGAGGGGGUUGGACACGGGGUGUCAAAGAGCGAUGACGCAAAACAGGGUGUUGGCUUGGCUGUGUGGCGCGCUGCCACGGGCCUGACAGAAGGGGGGGUGGCAUUCUGAAAGGCCAGCCCAGAGAACUCCAACCGCCCAGCAGCGCCC